AGAGUUUGAUCAUGGCUCAGAACGUACGCUGGCGGCACGCCUAACACAUGCAAGUCGAACGAAGUAGCAAUACUUAGUGGCAGACGGGUGAGUAACAUGUAGGUAUCUGCCCUUUGGCCUGGAAUAACACGAGGAAACUUGUGCUAAUACCGGAUAAGUCUUUACGGAGAAAGCUUUAUGCACCAUUGGAUGAGCCUGCACUUGAUUAGUUUGUUGGUGGGGUAAUGGCCUACCAAGACUGUGAUCAAUAGCUGAUUUGAGAGGAUGAUCAGCCACAUUGGGACUGAGACACGGCCCAAACUCCUACGGGAGGCAGCGGUGGGGAAUCUUGCACAAUGGAGGAAACUCUGAUGCAGCGAUGCCGCGUGAGUGAAGAAGGCCCUUGGGUUGUAAAGCUCUUUCGUCGGGGAAGAAAAUGACUGUACCCGAAUAAGAAGGUCCGGCUAACUUCGUGCCAGCAGCCGCGGUAAUACGAAGGGACCUAGCGUAGUUCGGAAUUACUGGGCUUAAAGAGUUCGUAGGUGGUUGAAAAAGUUGGUGGUGAAAUCCCAGAGCUUAACUCUGGAACUGCCAUCAAAACUUUUCAGCUAGAGUAUGAUAGAGGAAAGCAGAAUUUCUAGUGUAGAGGUGAAAUUCGUAGAUAUUAGAAAGAAUACCAAUUGCGAAGGCAGCUUUCUGGAUCAUUACUGACACUGAGGAACGAAAGCAUGGGUAGCGAAGAGGAUUAGAUACCCUCGUAGUCCAUGCCGUAAACGAUGUGUGUUAGACGUUGGAAAUUUAUUUUCAGUGUCGCAGCGAAAGCGAUAAACACACCGCCUGGGGAGUACGACCGCAAGGUUAAAACUCAAAUGAAUUGACGGGGACCCGCACAAGUAGUGGAGCAUGUGGUUUAAUUCGAAGAUACGCGCAGAACCUUACCAACACUUGACAUGUUCGUCGCGACUCUAAGAGAUUAGAGUUUUCGGUUCGGCCGGACGAAACACAGGUGCUGCAUGGCUGUCGUCAGCUCGUGUCGUGAGAUGUUGGGUCAAGUCCCGCAACGAGCGCAACCCUCACUUUUAGUUGCCAUCAUUAAGUUGGGCACUCUGAAAGAACUGCCAGUGAUAAGCUGGAGGAAGGUGGGGAUGACGUCAAGUCCUCAUGGCCCUUACGUGUUGGGCUACACACGUGCUACAAUGGUAUCUACAACAGGAAGCAAGACUGCGAAGUUAAGCAAAUCCCUAAAAGAUACCUCAGUUCGGAUUGCACUCUGCAACUCGAGUGCAUGAAGCUGGAAUUACUAGUAAUCGUGGAUCAGCGUGCCACGGUGAAUGCGUUCCCGGGUCUUGUACACACCGCCCGUCACACCAUGGGAGUUGGUUCUACCCUAAGGCAAGGUUUCAAACCCUUGACCACGGUAUAGUCAGCGACUGGGGUGAAGUCGUAACAAGGUAUCCGUA
rnacentral:rRNA from 1 species